GCGUACCUCGCUUAAGGGUAAAAGUAAGUUACCCACCCCCCACUGCUCAGCGAAGAAGAGGGUGCUUGCUUGCCCCAACUGCCCUAGCCGCAUAGCAGAGACCAUCUCGCGUUUUCUCUUUGCGCGUACGAGCCUCCUUACAAAGUCUUGGCCCUCAUCCCUCCCUUGAAGCCUUCCUCUCUCCACUCGAUCUAAAUUUCACAGUUCUCUCAUUUUCUAAUUCUUUUUUUCAUCUGGUUUCUUCUACUACACAGUAAAGAUAUUAAGGUGGACAUUCUAGUUUUUCCUUAAAUUUAUACCAUCCUCCAAAGAGGGUAUGGAGAAGUUCCCCGUCACGAAUCCAAACCAUUAGAUUAGUUUUACGUUUCACCUUCGUCUCCUUUGCUCCCAAAUGGAAGUCCUCAGGACUCACUCGCCUAACAGUGAUCUCAAAGCCCUAAUCCAUGAAAACUCCCUGUUCUUUGAAAGGCUUGUGGAGCUCAUCCCAGCAAGAUUUUACCUACCCAAUGAAGAUUCGGAAAAGAAAUGGUUUCAGGGCCUUAGCAAGGCAGCCAAGGCUUCUGCAAAGAAGGAAACAAAAGAAAACAUAAAGAAAGCUCGUCGUGCUCGGCUUGAUCCUGAGGCCUCAGCAACAACUCUCGAUCUCCUAAAGCAAAGAAUUGAAAAGGAGAAAACUGAGAAUGCCUCUGAAAAAGAUGAUGAAGAUGAAGAAGGUCCAGUGAAGAAGGCAGAAGUGAAGGAUGAUAAAUCCGUGACCUACGAAGAUCUUCGGGAACGUCUCCACCGACGGAUUGAGGAAUUGAGGGCCCAACGCAAUGCGGGGGAUAAAAAGCCCAAUGCCCAAAAGAAGGAAAAGAGAAAGAAUUCAGGGGAAGGAAAAAGGAAAUGGACUCAAGAACAGGAAGACAAAUCCAUAAAAAGCAACACCCAAGAUGGUGAAUCUUCAAAGAAAAAAAAGAAAGCUUCUGGAGAUUAUGCAUUUACCCAUGUGAAGAUCGGGUCAGGAGAGGAGCAAAACAAGAAGAAGAUGAAGAUUUCAAAGGAACAAGCUUUAGUGAGAGCGAAAAAGCUAGAGGAAGCAGUGAAAGAUCCGAUUAGAGGUCCCAAUGUUGCUUCAAAGCAUUCGUGGGGUGCGGCUGCUAAAAGAGCAGCUGGUAUUAAGGUUCAUGAUGAUCCAAAGCUGAUUAAGCAAAGCAUAAAGAAGGAAAAGAAGAGGCAACAAAAGAAUGUGCAGAAGUGGAAGGGGAGGUUGGAAGCAAGGGAUAAGAUUGUUGAUGCCAAGCAACAAACUAGAGCCAAUAAUAUAGCUCAACGGGCCCAGGAAAAGAAGAAGCGGCGCAUUGAGAAGAGAGAGAAGAAGCUUUUGCGCCCUGGUUUUGAAGGUCGAAAAGUUGGUUUUAUCAAUAAGUGAUGUUCCAUGAUAUUGGGGGAGCCCUUUUUGGAACUUGCGGGGAGAAGAGAUUUAGAUUGUCCAUUGCGUCCCAUCAAAUUCUGCUGCAAAAAUAUUAAUGAAUGGUAUUGAUUAAUUGUGUAACGUGGGAAUUACCUUGCGAAUGUUUAAAGUAUUCCAGAAGGUCACGGAUAACUCAUAAAGGAAGCAGUGGUUCUAAUUUAAUAAUGAUUUGGAGUACCAUGUGAUGUUCAUGAAUGGUGAGACUGAUCAAAGCUUCCGUGCAAAAGGCUUUAAAAAAAAAAAAGCUGUGUACCCCUUCUACCCAUGUUAUGCAGAUUGCUGUGAAAUUUUUGGAGCUGGUUGUUGCGCGCAAUGCAUUUCAGAUGAAUAUGGCUUCCACUGUUCCACUGAUGAGCUUUCUAAUUAUUAUGUGCUGAGGAUACCUUGUUUUGUGUGUUAAAAUAGAAUGUCAGAAAGGAGCUUUGGAAUAUGUUAUUAUCAAUUCAUUAGAAAGCUAUGUGCAUUUCUAAUCAAGUAGUGAAUAAGAAUGCCCUGUUAUGUGCAUUCGUAGCGAACCUUGUAACACUGAGCACUUUCUGCUUGUUGCCAGUUGUGAGCAAUGAAUGGUAUUGCAAUUU